UCUUUCUGAACACAGACCUAGGAAGUAGAAGGGAGACAACCUUCAAAAUGUACAGCAGAUCAAAGGAAGGUCAGUGACUGGCAGGAAUACGGGAGGAGGGAAGAAAGAUGCAAGCACACAUCGCUGCCUCCUACCACCACACACUCUUCUAGUAAGGAAGAGCUGGUUGCUGGAGCUGACAGACCACUUCACAGGACUGCAAAGGACCUUCCCAAGAACACUCUUUGCCGAUACCUCAUAGCUAAUCUUUAAGGUGGCUUGUGCUUGGCCGGGCAGCCCUCAGCCUUUCAGACAAACGUUUUGUGUGAGACCCUGCUGCUGGCCCCGCACCUGCUGAACCAGCUGCUGCUGGGGCAACGGCGGGGCAGUGCUGGCUCUGGAUCAGAAGAAAAGAAACGGAGCAACGCUCUCUGGUGUAACCAGGAGGAACGAGACUACGUCUCUCACGUGCGCGUACCUCAGACAAUCGCUCACACGCACAUCCAUGGUUUGAAUCCUUACAGUAUUAAAAUAUCUCCAGCUGUACUUCACUUCCUGGAGUCUUCCCUGAAUAUAUCAGAAGGAUGAAUGCUACUACAUCAGGAUGCAAAAGGACAUCAGA